UACGUAGGGUGCGAGCGUUAAUCGGAAUUACUGGGCGUAAAGCGUGCGCAGGCGGUUAUGUAAGACAGUUUUGAAAUCCCCGGGCUCAACCUGGGAAUUGCAUCUGUGACUGCAUAGCUAGAGUACGGUAGAGGGGGAUGGAAUUCCGCGUGUAGCAGUGAAAUGCGUAGAUAUGCGGAGGAACACCGAUGGCGAAGGCAAUCCCCUGGACCUGUACUGACGAUCAUGCACGAAAGCGUGGGGAGCAAACA
rnacentral:rRNA from 1 species